AACUGAUACUACCUGCGGGAACCUGCGGAAGGAUCAUUACCGAGUAUCGGGUGCUCUCGCGCUCUACUCCCACCCUGUGCUUAUCUAUAACUGUUGCUUUGGCGGGCCGGUGGGUCACCCACCGCCGGGCGGCGCCUGGAGAGCGCCCGCCAGAGGACCAAGCAAAACUCUUUGUCAACAUGGUCGCAUCUGAGCACGCGAGAAUGAACAAAACUUUUAACAACGGAUCUCUAGAUCGGA
rnacentral:misc_RNA from 1 species